GGUAACAUCUAGUGGACGCAAGCUAACCGAGACAUCACUUUUGUUAAAGGGAAGAGUACUAUAUCCUAUUGAUGAAUAAUAGAACAAGAUAUAUCAAGAAAAUGGAUACAAAUGAAUCAAAACAUGAUAGAAAAAGUGAGUUAAAAGCCUUUGAUGACACAAAAUCUGGUGUCAAAGGACUUGUUGAUGCAGGAGUAAGUAAAGUCCCUCAGAUAUUCAUUUCACCUCCAGAUACAUACUCAAAUUCCAACACAGGACAGUUCAUUUUUCCAGUUAUAGACCUCCAAGAUAUGGAUAGUCACGAUCAAAUCAAUCGAAAAAAAGUCAUUGAGAAAGUCCGCGAUGCAUCAGAGACAUGGGGUUUCUUUCAAGUGAUCAAUUAUGGCGUUCCGUGUGAUGUUAUGG
rnacentral:misc_RNA from 1 species